CUACGGUCGUUGUGAAGCGAUCGGAUGCAUGGAGAGAAGUCAGCCGAGGACAUAUUAGCCGUCCGACCAGCGGUUAAGGUC
rfam:Chitinivibrio alkaliphilus ACht1 contig00024, whole genome shotgun sequence.